rnacentral:rRNA from 1 species
AGUAACGGCGAGUGAAGCGGCAACAGCUCAAAUUUGAAAUCUGGCUCUUUUAGAGUCCGAGUUGUAAUUUGCAGAGGGCGCUUUGGCGUUGGCAGCGGUCCAAGUUCUUUGGAACAGGACGUCACAGAGGGUGAGAAUCCCGUACGUGGUCGCUAGCCUUGGCCGUGUAAAGCCCCUUCGACGAGUCGAGUUGUUUGGGAAUGCAGCUCUAAAUGGGAGGUAAAUUUCUUCUAAAGCUAAAUACUGGCCAGAGACCGAUAGCGCACAAGUAGAGUGAUCGAAAGAUGAAAAGCACUUUGGAAAGAGAGUCAAAUAGCACGUGAAAUUGUUGAAAGGGAAGCGCUUGCAGCCAGACUUGCCUGUAGUUGCUUAUCUAGACUUUUGUCUAGUGCACUCUUCUGCGGGCAGGCCAGCAUCAGUUUAGGCGGUUGGAUAAAGGUCUCUAUCACGUACCUCCCUUCGGGGUUGGCCUUAUAGGGGAGACGUCAUGCAGCCAGCCUGAACUGAGGUCCGCGCAUCUGCUAGGAUGCUGGCGUAAUGGCUGUAAGCGGCCCGUCUUGAAACACGGACCAAGGAGUCUAACAUCUAUGCGAGUGUUUGGGUGUCAAGCCCAGACGCGUAAUGAAAGUGAACGGAGGUGGGAACCUUUUAGGUGCACCAUCGACCGAUCCUGAUGUCUUCGGAUGGAUUUGAGUAAGAGCAUGGCUGUUGGGACCCGAAAGAUGGUGAACUAUGCUUGAAUAGGGUGAAGCCAGAGGAAACUCUGGUGGAGGCUCGCAGCGGUUCUGACGUGCAAAUCGAUCGUCAAAUUUGGGCAUAGGGGCGAAAGACUAAUCGAACUAUCUAGUAGCUGGUUCCUGCCGAAGUUUCCCUCAGGAUAGCAGUAACGUAUUCAGUUUUAUGAGGUAAAGCGAAUGAUUAGAGGCCUGGGGGUUGAAACAACCUUCACCUAUUCUCAAACUUUAAAUAUGUAAGAAGUCCUUGUUACUUGAUUGAACGUGGACACUUGAAUGUACCGUUACUAGUGGGCCAUUUUUGGUAAGCAGAACGGCGAUGCGGGAUGAACCGAACGCGGGGUUAAGGUGCCAGAAUAUACGCUCAUCAGACACCACAAAAGGUGUUAGUUCAUCUAGACAGCAGGACGGUGGCCAUGGAAGUCGGAAUCCGCUAAGGAGUGUGUAACAACUCACCUGCCGAAUGAACUAGCCCUGAAAAUGGAUGGCGCUCAAGCGUAUUACCCAUACCCCGCCGCCGGGGCAGAAUUUAAGCCCCGGCGAGUAGGCAGGCGUGGAGGCUCGUGACG